AUUGAACGCUGGCGGCAUGCUUUACACAUGCAAGUCGAACGGUAACAGGCCGCAAGGUGCUGACGAGUGGCGAACGGGUGAGUAAUGCAUCGGAACGUGCCCAGUCGUGGGGGAUAACUACUCGAAAGAGUAGCUAAUACCGCAUACGAUCUAUGGAUGAAAGCGGGGGACCGUAAGGCCUCGCGCGAUUGGAGCGGCCGAUGUCAGAUUAGGUAGUUGGUGGGGUAAAGGCUCACCAAGCCAACGUUCUGUAGCUGGUCUGAGAGGACGACCAGCCACGCUGGGACUGAGACACGGCCCAGACUCCUACGGGAGGCAGCAGUGGGGAAUUUUGGACAAUGGGCGCAAGCCUGAUCCAGCAAUGCCGCGUGCAGGAAGAAGGCCUUCGGGUUGUAAACUGCUUUUGUACGGAACGAAACGGCUCUGGUUAAUACCCGGGGCUAAUGACGGUACCGUAAGAAUAAGCACCGGCUAACUACGUG
rnacentral:rRNA from 1 species